CUUGGUCAUUUAGAGGAAGUAAAAGUCGUAACAAGGUUUCCGUAGGUGAACCUGCGGAAGGAUCAUUAUUGAAAAAGCUUUGGAGGUACUGUUGCUAUGUUCACUUGUGGCAUGUGCACGUAUCUCUAAUCCUAUUCAUCCACCUGUGCACUUUUUGUAGGAGUUCUUGAGGAUUGGCUUAUAUAGUCGAUUUGAAAAGACGCUUCUAUGUUUUUACAAACCAUUAUGCAUGUUUAGAAUGUUCUUUUACUGGGACUUUAUUGACCCUUUAAAAUCUAUACAACUUUCAGCAACGGAUCUCUUGGCUCUCCCAUCGAUGAAGAACGCAGCGAAAUGCGAUAAGUAAUGUGAAUUGCAGAAUUCAGUGAAUCAUCGAAUCUUUGAACGCACCUUGCGCCCUCUGGUAUUCCGGAGGGCAUGCCUGUUUGAGUGUCAUUAAAUUCUCAACUUCAAUAGUUUGUAAUGAACUUAUUGAAGCUUGGACGUGGAGGCUUGCUGGCGUCUCAGAUGUUCGGCUCCUCUUAAAUGCAUUAGUGGAUCCCGUUAGUUGGACUACACUCUGGUGUGAUAAUUAUCUACACUUUAGUUCGUUCAGCAGCUCUGUGAAUGUUUUUCGGAAACACUUUGUUUCUGGUUUGGGUUUCGCAUUAGUAUGCUUUACCUGGUUCAUUAGAGUAGGGUUUUAUCUGCUUUCAAAUCGUCUGUGUAUGCGGACAAUCUUUGACUAUUUGACCUCAAAUCAGGUAGGACUACCCGCUGAACUUAAGCAUAUCAAUAAGCGGAGGA
rnacentral:rRNA from 1 species